CCUACGGGUGGCAGCAGUGAGGAAUAUUGGUCAAUGGACGAGAGUCUGAACCAGCCAAGCCGCGUGAAGGAUGACGGCCCUAUGGGUUGUAAACUGCUUUUAUACAGGAGUAAAAGGAGGUACGUGUGCCUGUUUGCAUGUACUUUAUGAAUAAGGAUCGGCUAACUCCGUGCCAGCAGCCGCGGUAAUACGGAGGAUGCGAGCGUUAUCCGGAUUUAUUGGGUUUAAAGGGUGCGUAGGCGGUCUGAUAAGUUAGAGGUGAAAUGCCGGGGCUCAACCCCGAAAGUGCCUCUGAUACUGUUGGACUAGAGAAUAGUUGCGGUAGGCGGAAUGUAUGGUGUAGCGGUGAAAUGCUUAGAGAUCAUACAGAACACCGAUUGCGAAGGCAGCUUACCAAGCUACAUCUGACGUUGAGGCACGAAAGCGUGGGUAGCAAACAGGAUUAGAUACCCGGGUAGUC
rnacentral:rRNA from 1 species